rnacentral:rRNA from 1 species
UACGUAGGUGGCAAGCGUUAUCCGGAAUUACUGGCGUAAAGCGCACGCAGGCGGUCUUUUAAGUUUGACGUGAAAGCUCCCGGCUUAACUGGGAGAGGUCGUUGAAGACUGGAAGACUUGAGGCAAUGAGAGGGUGUAGAAUUCCCGGUGUAGUGGUGGAAUGCGUAGAUAUCGGGGGGAAUACCAGUGGCGAAAGCGGCACCCUAGCGUUAGCCUGACGCUCAUGUGCGAAAGCGUGGGAGCGAACGGG